rnacentral:lncRNA from 1 species
GAAAAGUAUGUUCAUCAUGUCUCUAAAAUUUCAUAUGAUAAUUGAUGAGUGCAAAUUGUGCACUUAUUUAGACCAUUUUAUUAAGUUUUUAUGUCGUCAAUUUAUUAAUUUCUACUUAAUUUGAGUUAAUUUUAGUUUGUUUUUAGUGAUGGACUCGUUCAGAGCAAAUGGAAAGGAUGAAGAACAAAUUGGCUAGUGGAUGCAAUAUUGAAGAACAAAUUCAACACUUGAAAAAUUGAAGAGGACGUUGAUUGCACAAUGGAGGAACUCAAAAACUGAAAUAUAUUAUAUUGAAAGAUUGAGGACUUGAUGAUUAAUAUUACAUUAAAGGCUUUGAAUUGGAGUCAAAUUUGGUGGCUAUGGAAUUAUUAUAUAAAGAUGUACACGCAGGAGGAAUUAGGGAGAGAUGGGAGUCCUUUCGUGAGUCAACCAUUGUGGCUGCUAGAAUUUUCUUUUGAUAUAUAUAUACACGUAUAUACUGAAGAGAAGGAAGCAGCCAAUUUUAAUAUAUAUUUUUCCACACACCAUAUUAUAGAGAAGCACGAAACUUUUGGCAGGAAUUCGAUAUUUUUUGGCACACAUUUUGAGGUGGCAAGAGGUGAUUGACACAGAUAGGGGGUACGGCUGUUGGGAGAAUUAAUUGGAGGGAGCUGGGGAUUUCUUUUUCUGCCAGUAAUAGAGACGCACAGAAAACCAAGGGUGAGGAAAUACUAUAUUUUAUACACACUUCGGAGGCUGAAAUUGUAAAACCGAGAGAGAGCAAAAAGGAGGCAGAAUAUAUACACGCAUACACGGCCAAAGAUGGCAACACGCGACGGCUUUACUUUUACAAAUUAUUCACGUUCCGUCCAUUUUCAGUGAUGCCUUCCAUAAUUUCUUACAUACACGGCCAGAGAUGGCAACACGCGACGGAUUUACUUUUACAAAUUAUUCACGUUCCGUCCAUUCUCAGUGAUGCCUUCCAUAAUUUCUUGUUUUUCUCUCAUUACUAUGCGUAGCUAAAUUUAACUUUAAGGCGAACAAUAUAACUGAUUUGGGAACCUUUAUUUUUUUUAUUUGAGAUUCUUAUUCUUUUAUAUUUUAUGCGUG